GAUGAACGCUGGCGGCGUGCCUAAUACAUGCAAGUCGAGCGAACAGACGAGGAGCUUGCUCCUCUGACGUUAGCGGCGGACGGGUGAGUAACACGUGGAUAACCUACCUAUAAGACUGGGAUAACUUCGGGAAACCGGAGCUAAUACCGGAUAAUAUAUUGAACCGCAUGGUUCAAUAGUGAAAGACGGUUUUGCUGUCACUUAUAGAUGGAUCCGCGCCGCAUUAGCUAGUUGGUAAGGUAACGGCUUACCAAGGCAACGAUGCGUAGCCGACCUGAGAGGGUGAUCGGCCACACUGGAACUGAGACACGGUCCAGACUCCUACGGGAGGCAGCAGUAUGGAAUCUUCCGCAAUGGGCGAAAGCCUGACGGAGCAACGCCGCGUGAGUGAUGAAGGUCUUCGGAUCGUAAAACUCUGUUAUUAGGGAAGAACAAAUGUGUAAGUAACUAUGCACGUCUUGACGGUACCUAAUCAGAAAGCCACGGCUAACUACGCG
rnacentral:rRNA from 1 species